rnacentral:rRNA from 1 species
CAGUAGCCACGGUAAUACGUAGGUGGCAAGCGUUGUCCGGAAUUAUUGGGCGUAAAGCGCGCGCAGGUGGUUCCUUAAGUCUGAUGUGAAAGCCCACGGCUCAACCGUGGAGGGUCGUUGGAAACUGGGGGACUUGAGUGCAGAAGAGGAAAGUGGAAUUCCAAGUGUAGCGGUGAAAUGCGUAGAUAUUUGGAGGAACACCAGUGGCGAAGGCGACUUUCUGGUCUGUAACUGACACUGAGGCGCGAAAGCGUGGGGAGCAAACAGGAUUAGAUACCCCGGUAGUCCCUGUCUCUUAUAC